rnacentral:tRNA from 1 species
GUUUCCGUAGUGUAGCGGUUAUCACGUGAGUCUAACACACUCAAGGUCCCCGGUUCGAUCCCGGGCGGAAACA